UACGUAGGGUGCAAGCGUUAUCCGGAAUUAUUGGGCGUAAAGGGCUCGUAGGCGGUUUGUCGCGUCUGCUGUGAAAACUGGAGGCUCAACCUCCAGCCUGCAGUGGGUACGGGCAAACUAGAGUGCGGUAGGGGAGAAUGGAAUUCCUGGUGUAGCGGUGAAAUGCGCAGAUAUCAGGAAGAACACCCGUGGCGAAGGCGGUUCUCUGGGACGGUACUGACGCUGAGACGCGAAAGCGUGGGGAGCGAACAGG
rnacentral:rRNA from 1 species